UACGUAGGGGGCAAGCGUUGUCCGGAUUUACUGGGCGUAAAGAGCGUGUAGGCGGCCAAGCAGGUCCGUUGUGAAAACUGGAGGCUUAACCUCCAGACGUCGACGGAAACCGCGUGGCUAGAGUCCGGAAGAGGAGAGUGGAAUUCCUGGUGUAGCGGUGGAAUGCGCAGAUAUCAGGAGGAACACCGAUGGCGAAGGCAGAUCUCUGGGCCGUAACGACGCUGGAGGAGCGAAAGCAUGGGGAGCGAACAGG
rnacentral:rRNA from 1 species